GUGGCUCACGCCUAUAAUCCCAGCACUUUGUGAGGCCAAGGAGGGCGGAUCACUUGAGGUCAGGAGUUGAAGACCAGCCUGGCCAAUAUGGCGAAACUCUGUCUUUACUAAAAAUACAAAAAUUAGCCAGGCAUUGUGGCGGGCGCCUAUCAUCCCAACUCCUUUGGGGGCUGAGGCAAGAGAAUUACUUGAACCUGGGAGGAGGAGGUUACAGUGAGCCAAGAUUGCGCCAUUGCACUCCAGUCUGGGCGACAGAGUGAGACUCGGUCUCAAAAAAAAAAAAUCUUUGCUUAAAUAGUAGUAAAUGUUAAACUUUUCAUCUGCUACAAUCAUCUCACUGAAAAAGUUAUUGUAUUUCAUUUUAGUUUAAAUAUUUUAAUUUGAAUCUUGUUUGCUAGAUAUCAUAAUUAUUUCAUAUCAUGUUGCUAUUAAUGUAGUAAGUACCAUGUAGAUAAUAUUAAGUGUUCCAAAUAAAGUGAGAGUGAAAUUCAUUGCUUGUAAAGUGAUAACAUUUAGCUAAAAGUAGGCUAAUUUUUGUUAUUGCUUUCCCUGCAGGAGAUUUCUUCUAUCUUACAGGAACUGAAAAGAGUAGAAAAGCAGCUGCAAGCAAUCAAUGCUAUGAUUGAUCCUGAUGGAACUUUGGAGGCUCUGAACAACAUGGG
rnacentral:lncRNA from 1 species